rnacentral:rRNA from 1 species
GAUCCUGGCUCAGGACGAACGCUGGCGGCGUGCUUAACACAUGCAAGUCGAACGAGGAAUCUGUGGAACGAGGAUUCGUCCAAGUGAAGCAGAGGACAGUGGCGGACGGGUGAGUAACGCGUGAGGAACCUGCCUUUCAGAGGGGGACAACAGUUGGAAACGACUGCUAAUACCGCAUAACACAUGGGUGUCGCAUGGCACUGAUGUCAAAGAUUUAUCGCUGAAAGGAUGG